CAGCCGCCGCGGUAAUACAGAGGAUGCAAGCGUUAUCCGGAAUGAUUGGGCGUAAAGCGUCUGUAGGUGGCUUUUCAAGUCCGCCAUCAAAUCCCAGGGCUCAACCCUGGACAGGCGGUGGAAAAUACCAAGCUGGAGUACGGUAGGGGCAGAGGGAAUUUCCGGUGGAGCGGUGAAAUGCGUUGAGAUUGGAAAGAACACCAACGGUGAAAGCACUCUGUUGGGCCGACACUGACUCUGAGAGACGAAAGCUAGGGGAGCAAAUGGGAUUAGAUACCCGGGUAGUCCCUGUCUCUUAUAA
rnacentral:rRNA from 1 species